rnacentral:ncRNA from 1 species
CUCUGUGCUCGCAUGAGGCCCAGGGCAAAAGAG